rnacentral:rRNA from 1 species
AGUUUGGAUCAUGGCUCAGGACGAACGCUGGCGGCGUGCUUAACACAUGCAAGUCGAACGAUGAAGCCCUUCGGGGUGGAUUAGUGGCGAACGGGUGAGUAACACGUGGGCAAUCUGCCCUUCACUCUGGGACAAGCCCUGGAAACGGGGUCUAAUACCGGAUAAUACUUUCCCUCUCAUGGGGGAAGGUUAAAAGCUCCGGCGGUGAAGGAUGAGCCCGCGGCCUAUCAGCUAGUUGGUGGGGUAAUGGCCUACCAAGGCGACGACGGGUAGCCGGCCUGAGAGGGCGACCGGCCACACUGGGACUGAGACACGGCCCAGACUCCUACGGGAGGCAGCAGUGGGGAAUAUUGCACAAUGGGCGAAAGCCUGAUGCAGCGACGCCGCGUGAGGGAUGACGGCCUUCGGGUUGUAAACCUCUUUCAGCAGGGAAGAAGCGA